rnacentral:lncRNA from 1 species
UCUAACUGUUGCUUGCUGACCUGCAUACAGGUUUCUCAAGAGGCAGGUCUGGUGGUCUGCUAUUCCCACCUUGGGAGGGAAUAAAUAGUAAACAUUGGUGAAACAUUUUGAGUGCCUGAAAAUUUUAUGAGCAUGGUCUCAACUUCAGGAAGUUGAAUAAGCAAGAACAUCCCAGGCAGGAGAAAUAAGAAGGCGAGGAGAAAGCUGGAGUCUGGCUUGGAACCCACUUGUUUACAAGAAGUUGACAAAAACUAUGCGUUAGAAAAGUAGGCAAAAGGCAGAUUGCAGUAGGCCCCAAAACGCCAACUGAGGAGCUGAGAUCUUACCCGCUCUUCAGGAUUCAGGAAAAGCGUUAAGACCACGCUGAGAGAGAGGACCAUUUGGAGGCCAGAACCAGGUAGGCUACACAGUGGGGUUCAGUUAGGAACUUUUUGCUCUCCCUCUCCAGCCACUCCUGGAUGGCUCACAGGCUGGCUGCAAACAAGAGUCCUUACAAGUGACCCAGCUGGGCUCCUUGACCUCUCUGAACAGAAGGCUCAAGACCAGAGUGUAAGCAGUUCUUUAUGCAAACCACUGCUGCCCUGCCCCCGCCAGCUGGCAUCACCAGGCAUUCGUUCAUUUAGCACUUAUACCAACACCUACAAUGGCACCGAGGCUCUUGGCUUUAUUCAGUCAAGGCUGCAUACACUUUCUGUGCCUUUUGAAAGCACUUGUCCUCACCCACUUCUUCCACAGAAGCAAGAUGAAGUAUCUGUUUCAUCAUGGCCCUCAUUCAAGCCUCCAGGCUACCAAGGCUGAGGUUUGGAGGACAGUGUGGAACACCAGCUGGCAGGCUGGGCACUGAGAACCGGCAACGCUCAGGGUGAAGAACAUGUCUUCCUUGUAAGGCACAAGUGCUCGAGCUGUUUCUUGGCUGUGUCCCUCCCUGGCAGGGAGAAGAGGGAGGUCAUGUCCUCAGGGGGUACACAGGAUGCCUUUCCUGCUGUACCUGGCAGGCCUGAGCAGAAAGCACUUUUUCCUGGUGAGAGAGUCUGUGAGCAUCCUUAGCCAGCAGGCAGGUGUGUGUGUGUGUGUCUGUGUGUGUGUGUGCAGUCCUGCAUGUGGUGGGGCAGAGUGGCUGAAGAGGAGGCAGCGGCUCUGGGAAGGUGGCUGAGGGCUCCAGCUGGAGCUCUCCAG